CCUUCGAGUUGGAAAAGAGAACAUGUCAGGACUGGAACCUGCAAAUGCCUGGCCAGGCACCACCUGAAGCUGUCACAGGAAGUGUAGGAAAUGAACAGACUGGCACAUGCAUGUCCAGCUGUGCCUCCUCUCCAGGGCGCUCCUUUGUCAUUCAAGCCAUCAGAGAGCAGCAUCCACUCAGACUGCUGGGACCAGGUUCAAGCCUACCCUACAGAACCCACAGUUCUAUGAAGAAACUUAAAGUGAACCCACCACUACUUUUCUAGGCAUCCACUAGGGCCCUGAG
rnacentral:lncRNA from 1 species